rnacentral:rRNA from 1 species
AGAAUGAACGCUGGCGGCGUGCUUAACACAUGCAAGUCGAACGGAAUCCAAGGAGCUUGCUCUGGAAGAUUUAGUGGCGAACGGGUGAGUAUCACGUGAGCAACCUGCCCCGAAGACUGGGAUAACACCGGGAAACCGGUGCUAAUACCGGAUACCUUCCAAUGACCGCAUGGUCGAUGGAAGAAAUGUUUUUCGCUUCGGGAGGGGCUCGCGGUCCAUCAGCUUGUUGGCGGGGUAACGGCCCACCAAGGCUUCGACGGAUAGCUGGUCUGAGAGGACGAUCAGCCACACUGGAACUGAGACACGGUCCAGACUCCUACGGGAGGCAGCAGUGGGGAAUCUUGCGCAAUGGACGAAAGUCUGACGCAGCAACGCCGCGUGAGGGACGAAGGUUUCUGAAUUGUAAACCUCUUUCGACAGGGACAUAAUGACGGUACCUGUAGAAGAAGCACCGGCCAACUAUGUGCCAGCAGCCGCGGU